CCAGCAGUUUUAACUUCUUUAGGUGUUUCUCUUUGUUUUUUUAAGUGUCAGUCUAUCCCAAAACGCCAAUACAGAUGACUCCUUUCUACUUUAACUGGGGCUUGAAUGACACUGGGCAACACGCACACAACCCCUGCAGAUCUCAGCUACCAAAAUUCUCUUGUUAAAUGUUUUUUCUUGCUAUGAUGUCAGACUGAAUUGAGCUUCAGACAAGGACCACAUCUUUAAAACCUUCAGUGAUGUAAAUUCUUGUAGGAGCGUGAUUUCCUGAACUGAUACAUAAUAUCUACUUCUACUCAGCUAAAAAAAACUGGUUUGGGAAUCUCAGCCCAGAUCUGUACAGAUUUGCAAAGACACCGCUAAAAACAUCUCCUGUGUCUUCAUUGACAUUAUUCAAAACCUGGGAGUUCUUCUGAUUUUCCUAGAAGCAGCUAUGUGCAGACACAGACUCUUCCAUCUACACUAAGAACCAUUCAGAUGUGUCAGCUCUCAUGUGAACUGAGAAACCACAUACAUGUAUACUUCCCACUGCAAUGCUGCUGCUGAUCUGAAAAGGGAAGUAAGGGCUUGGAACCUUUCUCAACUUUUGUAUCUGCACAGCUUCUUCUUUUCUAUAUGUUUUGCCCCCCAUACAUACUUCUGACAUUAAAAAGUGUAGUAGGCCUUCUAUUUGUUAGUCCGAGGUUACAACCUCUAUGUGACUGGUUAAUUGAAUAUUUGAUACCAGAAAUCUAUGAAUAUCCCAGUUUAUGGAUUUUAAUUGCCUUCAGUUUUAACAAAGAAAGCUUGUUUCUACAACUGGUGCUGUCAUUUCCAUUACUCCACCUCAGGAUAACUAAUUUUAUGUUAAUUUAAAUUCCUUGGAAAAUUGAAGUCCAAAUAUGUUUAAGGAUAUUGGUAUUUCUGACUUUGAUUUGUAAACCUCAUUGAUCCUUUAUCCAUAUGUUUAUAGAUAUUUUCACUUUUUAAAUUCUGGCCUUUCUGUUUACUUAUCCAAGCAGACUGUCUGCCUUCUGAUUUUCUUUUUCUUUAUGAGGACUCCAGAUAAUAUAUUUCUAUUUAAAUUCAGUACCUCUACCUUGACAUUCAAAUCUUUCUGUUAUUCUGUUGAUUUUUUUUAUCAUCCUCCUAAUUUUUCUGUCUGCCAUACUAAAAAACCCAGUUCCUUAGGUUUUUAUCUGUUUUUUUCUUUGUGUCAAUUUGAAACAAAAUGAAUUAUCUUGAGAUCAAAAGAUGAGUGUUUCUUUUCACAGCAUUUUGAGUGUUUACCAGAGUAGCACAGGUGAAUUGACUUAGGAAUUUACUACUCAUUUAUAUCAAAGCAUGACUGAGAAUUACCUUUGUGAUUUGAUAGAGUUUGGAAGAGAAAUGCUAAGAAAUCAGUAGAAAUAAAAGUAACACUUCUUUACAUAUCUCACAUAAACUUACAAAGCCAAAUUAACCAUUUUUCAGCCUUGAUGCAGAAAUACUAGCAUAUACCUGAGAAAUCUUCCCCCAAAAAUGUUUUAUUAAAUUUAUUAUAUUAUCUUUAUUUAAUCAGUCAUUUUUGUGAGUACGCAGUACUGUACCACCAUUUUUAAUUUUAAUUCCAUCCUUUCUAAGCAGCUUUCUUUCUAAUUCUUUCAUCCAGCUCUAUCCCAGUUACAAAUGGUCUUGUUUUGCAUUCCUAUUAUGUCUGUAAUGAAUGGUUUCUUUCAUAUAUCUUUCAUACAUAUCUUCGACAGAAGUUGUUUUACAAUGCUGAACUCAAUGUGUUGGCAAACAGCUGUUUGUUUCCCUUUGGCCUCAUCAUUGUUUUCAACAGGAGGUAAUUUGCUGGCUGAAAUUUCUUACAGAGUUAUGCUUGUAAUAACUGAAGGUUUAUCCUUUUCCUUAAUGUUUCAUUUUCAAUUGCCACAUUCUUUUUCAAGGGAUUUAUCUUCUGCCAUGAAGCUUUGAAAUUUAGCAGUCUUUCAAAUUCUUCCCCUGUCCCCAGCUGCAACCUCACAAAGCAAUGGUUUCUUUUGAAUUCAUUUGGCAUUCAGACUGUAUUUGGUAUCUCUCCCCCAGUGCAUUCCCAAAGUUUCACCUGAGAAACAGCAUAGUCUUCAGCUGCAACUUUGGUUCUCCAUUAAUAUCUUUCGUGAGUUUUUCAAGUAGUAGGUCCUGCAGCUUACACUAUUCACUUCAAGUCAAUAUAUUUAUAAUUUUAUGAUGCUUGAUUUACUUUUUGUCUUCUUUCUUACUACCAUUGUCACAGUGUUCCUCACCCAGGACAAGGGGUAAUGGUUUUAAACUGAAGAGGGUAGAUAAACUUGAGUUGACUAAAUAUGAGUGAAUUUUUUUUUUGCAGUGAG